rnacentral:rRNA from 1 species
GAUGAACGCUGGCGGCGUGCCUAAUACAUGCAAGUCGAGCGAACAGACGAGGAGCUUGCUCCUUCGACGUUAGCGGCGGACGGGUGAGUAACACGUAGGUAACCUACCUAUAAGACUGGGAUAACUUCGGGAAACCGGAGCUAAUACCGGAUAAUAUUUCGAACCGCAUGGUUCGAUAGUGAAAGAUGGCUUUGCUAUCACUUAUAGAUGGACCUGCGCCGUAUUAGCUAGUUGGUAAGGUAACGGCUUACCAAGGCAACGAUACGUAGCCGACCUGAGAGGGUGAUCGGCCACACUGGAACUGAGACACGGUCCAGACUCCUACGGGAGGCAGCAGUAGGGAAUCUUCCGCAAUGGACGAAAGCCUGACGGAGCAACGCCGCGUGAGUGAUGAAGGUCUUCGGAUCGUAAAACUCUGUUAUUAGGGAAGAACAAACGUGUAAGUAACUGUGCACGUCUUGACGUUACCUAAUCAGAAAGCCACGGCUAACUACGUG